rnacentral:rRNA from 1 species
CCUACGGGCGGCAGCAGUGGGGAAUAUUGCACAAUGGGGGGAACCCUGAUGCAGCGACGCCGCGUGGGUGAAGGAGUAUUUCGGUAUGUAAAGCCCUAUCAGCAGGGAAGAACAAUGACUGUACCUGACUAAGACGCACCGGCUAAAUACGUGCCAGCAGCCGCGGUAAUACGUAUGGUGCCCGCGUUAUCCGGAUUUACUUGGUGUAAAGGGAGCGCAGGCGGCGCGUUAAGCCUGGUGUGAAAGCCCGCGGCCCAACCGCGGGACUGCAUUGGGAACUGGAGAGCUGGAGUGCCGGAGGGGUAGGCGGAAUUCCUAGUGUAGCGGUGAAAUGCGUAGAUAUUAGGAGGAACACCAGUGGCGAAGGCGGCUUACUGGACUGUAACUGACGUUGAGGCUCGAAAGCGUGGGGAGCAAACAGGAUUAGAUACCCGAGUAGUC